GACGAACGCUGGCGGCGUGCCUAAUACAUGCAAGUAGAACGCUGAAGGAGGAGCUUGCUUCUCUGGAUGAGUUGCGAACGGGUGAGUAACGCGUAGGUAACCUGCCUGGUAGCGGGGGAUAACCAUUGGAAACGAUAGCUAAUACCGCAUAAUAGUAGAUGUUGCAUGACAUUUGCUUAAAAGGUGCAAUUGCAUCACUACCAGAUGGACCUGCGUUGUAUUAGCUAGUUGGUGAGGUAACGGCUCACCAAGGCAACGAUACAUAGCCGACCUGAGAGGGUGAUCGGCCACACUGGGACUGAGACACGGCCCAGACUCCUACGGGAGGCAGCAGUAGGGAAUCUUCGGCAAUGGACGGAAGUCUGACCGAGCAACGCCGCGUGAGUGAAGAAGGUUUUCGGAUCGUAAAGCUCUGUUGUAAGAGAAGAACGAGUGUGAGAGUGGAAAGUUCACACUGGGACGGUAUCUUACCAGAAAGGGACGGCUAACUACGU
rnacentral:rRNA from 1 species